AGGAAAAAAAAGGAAGGGUGGAAACAUUUUGUGGUCGUUUUUUUUUGUAGAGGUUUUUUUUUGUUAGAGUCGUCGUUUAUUCCUCAGCAUUUUUUGCGGCUUUCCUAAACGGCAAAGUAAGGCCCGAGAUCCUUCAC
rnacentral:ribozyme from 14 species